AGGGAAUCUUCCACAAUGGGCGAAAGCCUGAUGGAGCAACGCCGCGUGAGUGAAGAAGGAUUUCGGUUCGUAAAACUCUGUUGUAGGGAAGGAAAAGUAAAGGUGUAAACGGGCUGUCCCUGGCGGUUACCUAAUUGAAAGGCAACGGCUAACUAGGUGCCAGCAGCCGCGGUAAUACGUAGGUGGCAAGCGUUGUCCGGAAUUAUUGGGCGUAAAGCGCGCGCAGGUGGUUUCUUAAGUCUGAUGUGAAAGCCCACGGCUCAACCGUGGAGGGUCAUUGGAAACUGGGAGACUUGAGUGCAGAAGAGGAUAGUGGAAUUCCAAGUGUAGCGGUGAAAUGCGUAGAGAUUUGGAGGAACACCAGUGGCGAAGGCGACUAUCUGGUCUGUAACUGACACUGAGGCGCGAAAGCGUGGGGAGCAAACA
rnacentral:rRNA from 1 species